UAGGGAAUCUUCGGCAAUGGACGAAAGUCUGACCGAGCAACGCCGCGUGAGUGAAGAAGGUUUUCGGAUCGUAAAACUCUGUUGUUAGAGAAGAACAAGGACGUUAGUAACUGAACGUCCCCUGACGGUAUCUAACCAGAAAGCCACGGCUAACUACGUGCCAGCAGCCGCGGUAAUACGUAGGUGGCAAGCGUUGUCCGGAUUUAUUGGGCGUAAAGCGAGCGCAGGCGGUUUCUUAAGUCUGAUGUGAAAGCCCCCGGCUCAACCGGGGAGGGUCAUUGGAAACUGGGAGACUUGAGUGCAGAAGAGGAGAGUGGAAUUCCAUGUGUAGCGGUGAAAUGCGUAGAUAUAUGGAGGAACACCAGUGGCGAAGGCGUCUCUCUGGUCUGUAACUGAAGCUGAGGCUCGAAAGCGUGGGGAGCAAACAGG
rnacentral:rRNA from 1 species